AUCCAUCCAGAAUGGAGAACGGAAGAACAGUCUUCACAGAACAAUUUUUCCAUAUGUCCGCAGAAGAACUUGUUGGCUGCUCAGUUACUGACCAUGGGUUGUCAGCAGGAUAAGAGACAGUUGUUUUAACUUGCUGACCAAACUCUAUCGGAUCACUUGUCUGAAUUUUGCUAUUUCUAGAAUCAGGGAUGGAUGAACCACUGCUGCUUUCCUGCCAUGCAGUUUUCUUUACACCUGAGAAGGUAGCCUCCUCUCUAGAUUUCCCUUCUGUUCUACCAGAGUAGUUGCUUGUAUUAGCUCUAUCAUUCUGAUAAG
rnacentral:lncRNA from 1 species